rnacentral:rRNA from 1 species
AUUGAACGCUGGCGGCAGGCCUAACACAUGCAAGUCGAACGAGUGGCGGACGGGUGAGUAAUUUCUGGGAAACUGCCCGAUGGACGGGUAUAACUACUGGAAACGGUAGCUAAUACCGCAUACCAUCGGAUGUGCCCAGAUUGGAUUAGCUAGUAGGUGGGGUAAAGGCUCACCUAGGCGACGAUCCCUAGCUGGUCUGAGAGGAUGACCAGCCACACGGGAACUGGGACACGGUCCAGACUCCUACGGGAGGCAGCAGUGGGGAAUAUUGGACAAUGGGCGAAAGCCUGAUGCAGCAAUGCCGCGUGUAUGAAGAAGGCCUUCGGGUUGUAAAGCACUUUCAGCGGGGAGGCGUUACCUGCAGAAGAAGCACCGGCUAACUCCGUGCCAGCAGCCGCGGUAAUUC